rnacentral:rRNA from 1 species
GACAGAGGGUGCAAACGUUGUUCGGAAUUACUGGGCGUAAAGCGAGUGUAGGCGGUUUGGUAAGUCGGAUGUGAAAGCCCCGGGCUCAACCCGGGAAGUGCACUCGAUACUGCCAAGCUAGAGUAUCGGAGAGGUUGGUGGAAUUCUCGGUGUAGAGGUGAAAUUCGUAGAUAUCGAGAGGAACACCGGUGGCGAAGGCGGCCAACUGGACGAAUACUGACGCUGAUGCGCGAAAGCGUGGGGAGCAAACGGG